GAAAGCCGAUGCAUUGCGAAGUGCUGCUCCAAUGCUAUCGUCAAAGACGGGACUGCAGGAGAAGAAUACCCAUUACCUGAUGGAGCCCGCUGUGAAAGGAGGAACCACGCGUGUUACAAUGGCAGAUGCACCGACUGGGUCAAACAUCCUGCGAGACCACGACCAGGCGCUGAUACGAGACGUUGAGCUGAAAUACUUGAAGCAUCUCGCAGUGGUUGCUCGAACCUGAGAUAGCUGUUCCUGUCGGGGUCCGAUUCCUCAGCUUUGCAGCAAGCACUGAAGACCCAGCCCGGAACUAACCGUGCCGAUUGAAGCAUUGUAGUUACAAAAAUAUAUAGUGCCCAACAACUGCAGCUGCUGUCCGAGAGCCCUUUGGCAAUUUCUGUGAGACCUCGAAUAUCUUUGUUGUCCGAAUAGAUAUUGAUCUCUUUAGUGGCAGCACAG
rnacentral:lncRNA from 1 species